rnacentral:tRNA from 1 species
UGGGCUAUAGCCAAGCGGUAAGGCAUCGCACUUUGACUGCGACAGGCGUUGGUUCGAAUCCAGCUAGCCCAG